CCCAGCUAGUCAUGCUGGAGCACUUUUUCAAUGGGCUCCCCAACGACAAGGCUACGACGCAUUCGUAUGUCAUCCAUAUCAACGUUCAAUGCCACUUUCUGCGCCUACCAUGGUGAACACGGGUAAUGGGGAAUCGGGGUUCGAUUCCGGAGAGGGAGCCUGAGAAAUGGCUACCACAUGCAAGGAAAGCAGCAGGCGCGCAAAUGACCCACUCCCGACGCAGGAAGGUAGUGACG